rnacentral:misc_RNA from 1 species
UCUCCGUAGGUGAACCUGCGGAGGGAUCAUUACUGAGUGAGGGCUCUCGGGUCCGACCUCCAACCCUUUGUGAAUCAAUAUCUUGUUGCUUCGGGGGCGACCCUGCCGAAUUCCGGCGCCGGCGCCCCCGGAGGUCAUCAAAACUCUUGCAUCUCUGCGUCUGAGUCUUAAACAAAUUAAACAAAACUUUCAACAACGGAUCUCUUGGUUCUGGCAUCGAUGAAGAACGCAGC